AUUGAACGCUGGCGGCAGGCCUAACACAUGCAAGUCGAGCGAGCGGCGGACGGGUGAGUAAUGUAUGGGGACUGCCCGAUAGAGGGGGAUAACUACUGGAAACGGUAGCUAAUACCGCAUACUAUCGGAUACUCCAUAGGGGAAGAGAUAGUAGGGGAGGUAAUGGAUUCCCUAGGCGACGAUCCCUAGAUGGUCUGAGAGGAGAAUCAGCAACACGGGGACUGAGACACGGCCCAGACUCCUACGGAGGCAUCAGUGGGGAAUAUUGCACAAUGGGCGCAAGCCUGAUGCAGCCAUGCCGCGUGUAUGAAGAAGGCCCUAGGGUUGUAAAGUACUUUCAGUCGAGAGGCGUUACCGACAGAAGAAGCACCGGCUAACUCCGUGCCAGCAGCCGCGGUAAUUC
rnacentral:rRNA from 1 species